NNNNNNNNNNNNNNNNNNNNNNNNNNNNNNNNNNNNNNNNNNNNNNNNNNNNCCAGAGCCACCUGCGAGCGCUGUCCUCUCCUGGUGGCUGCCUCCUCCUCCCUGGCAGCCCCGUCCUCCUUGCUGGUGGCCAUCUCCUCCUCGCUGGCAGCCUCCUCCUCUUCACUGGCAACCUCUUCCUCCUUGCUGGCAGCCUCCUCCUCCAACUCCUUGUCAGUGGCCGCUGCCACCCGGGCAUUGGACACGGCCCCAACCGAGGCCACCUCCUCCCUGUCCAGGGCCACAGGCGGCUGCUGAGCUGUGGCCAGCUGGUUGUCCCCACCUGUCUCCCUGUGGGUGACCUCAUCCUGCAGGUCCCCAGCCUGGGCGGUGGCCUCAGUGGUGGCAUCGGUGGUGGCCUCAUCCCCACUGGCCUCAUUCUCACUGGCCUCGUCCUCACUGGCCUCAUCCUCACUGGCCUCGUCCUCACUGGCCUCAUCCUCACUGGCCUCAUUCUCACUGGCCUCGCAGAACUCAGAAGCCUCCCAGGCCAGGAAGUACCAGCUCUCUCCAAGCAUGCACACCCUUUCCCGCCAGGCCGUGGCCACGUCUCUCACUUUGGCCCAGGUGUCCUCUGGGGUGGACCCAAGGGUGGCCAGGGCCCGGUCCAGGGAGAGGACACUGAUGUAGCUCGAGGAGGUGACACCACAGUGGUUCAGGGCAUCCCGGAGGCUGCAGGCAAAGCUCCUCAGGGACUCUGGGGUCACGCGCUGCUGCUCGUCCCUCUGUGGCCCGGUCACGGUGGCCGCCACCUUGCCCAGGGUCGCUACUACGUCCACCAGAGCCCACAGCAGCUGGGAAGAGGAUGGCUGGGCAGGGGACAGGGGAGGUGUCAGGGACCUUGUGGCACUUGUGGCCUCCUGCUCUGGCCCCUGUGCCCUGCUGGGGUGCCCUUUGUGCCCUCCCUGGAGGGCUCUGCUGUCCCCUCUGUCUCUUUGUCACCCCCUUGUCCCCUCUGCCACUCCCGGCCACCCUCCCGCUGUCCCCUCUGCCACCCUCAGUCACCUCUACCCCUCUGCCACCUCCCCCCUUCUUGCCACUGCCCCCAUCCCCUCUUGUCACCCCCAUGUCCCCCCAUGCCGAGAUUGUCACACCUUGUAGGGCUCCAUGGCUGCUGGGGACACGCUGGGGACACUCCGG
rnacentral:lncRNA from 1 species